rnacentral:rRNA from 1 species
GGCAUAGCCUGGGCCUUUUGCCAAGUUGUAAAUAGCUUUGGGCGGAAUAAGUUGGUGGGUAAGACCGGGUGCCAGCCGCCGCGGUAACACCUGCGCCACAAGGUUGGCAAUCAUAUUUAUUGGGCCUAAAGCGUUCGUAGCCGGAUAUGUAAGUCUUAAGUGAAAUCGUUGCGCUUAACAAAACGGCGUGCUUGAGAUACUGCAUGUCUAGGGACCGGGAGGCGUUAGGGGUAUUCCGGAGGGAGCGGUAAAAUGCUAUAAUCUCUGGAGGACCACCUGUGGCGAAGGCGCCUAACGAGAACGGGUCCGACGGUGAGGAACGAAAGCUAGGGGAGCAAACCGGAUUAGAUACGAGAAAUUUUCGGAACAAAAAAUUUCUGGACUAACGAGUAAAUAUUGCCUGAUAAAAAACUACAUUUACUCGUGAAGGAAGGAAAAUUAUGGGAAUUUACUCGCUAAGUACCCGAGUAGUCCUAGCCGUAAACGCUGUGUACUAGAUGUUGCAUAUUCCUCGAGAAUAUGCAGUGUCGGAGCGAAGGCAUUAAGUACACCGCCUGGGGAAGGUACGGUCGCAAGGCUGAAACUUAAAGGAAUUUGGCGGGAGAGCACUACAAGGGGUUGCGGCGUGCGGUUUAAUCUAACUCUACGCAGAGAAUCUCACCAGCAGCGACGGCAGAAUGAAGGUCAGAUUAAAUGUCUUACUUGACGAGCCGAGAGGUAGUGCAUGGCCGUCGUCAGCUCGUGCCGUAAGGUGUCCUCUUAAGUGAGGUAACGAGCGAGAUCCAUGCCCAUAAUUGCCAGCGGACGCUUUAGCGGGACUGGGCACAUUAUGGGGACUGCCUUGGAAACAAGGAGGAAGGUGUGGGCAACGGUAGGUCUGUACGCUCCGAAUCUGCUGGGCUACACGCGCGCAACAAUGGCGAGGACAAUGGGAUGCAACACCGAAAGGUGAAGCUAAACCUCUAAACCUCGUCCUAGUCUGGAUUGAGGGUUGUAACUCACCCUCAUGACACCGGAAUCCCUAGUAAUCGGACUUCAUCACGGUCCGGUGAAUAUGUCCCUGCUCUUUGUACACACCGCCCGUCAAACCAACCGAGUUGGGUUUGGGUGAGAUGCAACUUUCAGUUGCAUCAAAU